rnacentral:rRNA from 1 species
AGUAAUACAUAGGAAUCUGCCCAGUAGCGGGGGACAACUCGGAGAAAUCCGAGCUAAUACCGCAUACGCCCUACGGGGGAGAGCAGGGGAUCUUCGGACCUUGCACUAUUGGAUGAGCCUAUGUCAGAUUAGCUUGUUGGUGGGGUAACGGCCUACCAAGGCGACGAUCUGUAGCUGGUCUGAGAGGACGAUUCAGCCACACUGGGACUGAGACACGGCCCAG